rnacentral:rRNA from 1 species
UAGGGAAUCUUGCGCAAUGGGCGAAAGCCUGACGCAGCGACGCCGCGUGAGAGAAGAAGGCCUUCGGGUCGUAAACCUCUGUCCUUGGGGACGAUGAUGACGGUACCCAAGGAGGAAGCCCCGGCUAACUACGUGCCAGCAGCCGCGGUAAUACGUAGGGGGCGAGCGUUGUCCGGAAUCACUGGGCGUAAAGGGUGCGUAGGCGGCUUGGCAAGUCCUGUGUGAAAGGUCGCGGCUCAACCGCGGUGGGUCAUGGGAAACUGCCAAGCUCGAGUGCCGGAGAGGAUAGCGGAAUUCCCGGUGUAGCGGUGAAAUGCGUAGAGAUCGGGAGGAACACCAGUGGCGAAGGCGGCUAUCUGGAAGGUCACUGACGCUGAGGCACGACAGCUGGGGAGCAAACAGGAUUAGAUACCC